CGGAAGGGGAGUGAAAUAGAACCUGAAACCGUGUGCUUACAAGUAGUCAGAGCCCGUUAAUGGGUGAUGGCGUGCCUUUUGUAGAAUGAACCGGCGAGUUACGAUUUGAUGCAAGGUUAAGCAGUAAAUGUGGAGCCGUAGCGAAAGCGAGUCUGAAUAGGGCGUUUAGUAUUUGGUCGUAGACCCGAAACCAGGUGAUCUACCCUUGGUCAGGUUGAAGUUCAGGUAACACUGAAUGGAGGACCGAACCGACUUACGUUGAAAAGUGAGCGGAUGAACUGAGGGUAGCGGAGAAAUUCCAAUCGAACCUGGAGAUAGCUGGUUCUCUCCGAAAUAGCUUUAGGGCUAGCCUCAAGUGAUGAUUAUUGGAGGUAGAGCACUGUUUGGACGAGGGGCCCCUCUCGGGUUACCGAAUUCAGACAAACUCCGAAUGCCAAUUAAUUUAACUUGGGAGUCAGAACAUGGGUGAUAAGGUCCGUGUUCGAAAGGGAAACAGCCCAGACCACCAGCUAAGGUCCCAAAAUAUAUGUUAAGUGGAAAAGGAUGUGGCGUUGCCCAGACAACUAGGAUGUUGGCUUAGAAGCAGCCAUCAUUUAAAGAGUGCGUAAUAGCUCACUAGUCGAGUGACACUGCGCCGAAAAUGUACCGGGGCUAAACAUAUUACCGAAGCUGUGGAUUGUCCUUUGGACAAUGGUAGGAGAGCGUUCUAAGGGCGUUGAAGCAUGAUCGUAAGGACAUGUGGAGCGCUUAGAAGUGAGAAUGCCGGUGUGAGUAGCGAAAGACGGGUGAGAAUCCCGUCCACCGAUUGACUAAGGUUUCCAGAGGAAGGCUCGUCCGCUCUGGGUUAGUCGGGUCCUAAGCUGAGGCCGACAGGCGUAGGCGAUGGAUAACAGGUUGAUAUUCCUGUACCACCUAUAAUCGUUUUA
rnacentral:rRNA from 1 species